ensembl:lncRNA
CAGCUGACUGGGCGGUGACGUCAUCUCGAGGGGGGUUUUGGAGGAGUUUUUUUUUGGGAAUUUUGGGCGGAUUUUUGGGAGUUUUUUUGGUGAAGUUUUGGGGGAUUUUUGGGGUUUUUUUGGGGACUUUUAACGGAUUUUUUUGGCGGAGUUUUGGGGUUUUUUGGGGACUUUUAAGGGAUUUUUUUGGGGGAAUUUUUCAGCCGAUCCCAAACCGAUUUUUGGGACAAUUUUUUGGGAAUUUGAGACAAAUUUUUAUUUUUUUUGGGAGGUUUCCCGAACGGAAUUUUGUGACUAUUUUUUCGGGAAAAAAAAAAAUUUUGGGAUUCCCGGGAAGGAAUUUCAAAGCCCCUCCCGAACUUUUUUUUGAGGUUCCUUUGUGCCGCUAAUUAAGAGUUGGGGGCGUGGCCUCGCUAAUUAAAACCAGGAAUGGGCGGGGUGGGGACCGUUGCCCUUUUAAGGCGGCGUUGCCCUUUUAAGACGCCAUUGCCCUUUUAAGGGGGCGUGGCCUAUCUAAACCACCAUUGCCCUUUUAAGAGGGCGUGGCCUAUUUAAGGGGCGUUGCUCUUUUAAGGGGGCGUUGCCCUUUUAAGACGCCAUUGCCCUUUUAAGGCGCCAUUUCCCUUUUAAGGCGCCAUUGCCCUUUUAAGGCGCCAUUGCCCCUUUAAGGCGCCGUUACCGCUUUAAGGCCGCGCCUUGUGGGCCCCACCAUAAAGGCUCCGCCCCUUCCCAGUUCAUCCCAGUUCAUCCCAGUUCAUCCCAGUCCCCUCCCAGUUCAUCCCAGUCCUCCUCUCUCUGUACUGGUUUGAACUGGGAUGAACUGGGAGACACUGGGAUGAACUGGGAUGAACUGGGAGACACUGGGCCGCCUUUGUCCCGCCUCUCGCUUCCCAUUGGUCGAUUUCUCUUAUUUCCGCGCGUCUAUUGGUCAUUUCUGCUGUCACUCAUCUAUCAAUUCCGUUUACCCGCUUUUUCCCGCCCCGCGCUCCCAUUGGCUCGCUGUUUUCCCGCCCCGCGCUCCUAUUGGCUCGUUAUUUCCCGCCCCUCUCUCCUAUUGGCUGUUUCGGCCGAGGGGGCGUAUCCAGGCGCGGCUCGGCGGGAAGCCCGUGAGGGGAAAAGCGGCGGCGGGGGCGAAAAUUUGGGCCUUUUUUGGGGGUUUCCCCCCCAAAAUCCUCAUGGCCUUGGGGGGACUCCGGGACCUUCUGCUGCCUCCAGGCGAGGACCCCCCAAAUUCCGCCGCCCCCCAGGAACUGAGGGACCACCCGGGUCUGGCCCGACUGCUCCGAAAUUUGGGGGGACUCCUGGGGGGGGAUGGGCUCAGCCCCCCCCUGCGGCUGCAGCUGCGGCAGGUGACACAAAAUUUGGGGCAAAAAACACAAAAUUUGGGGCUGGGGGGGAUGGGGCAAAAAUUCCAUUUAUUUUAGUGGGUUUUCCACAGUUUUUCCUGGAUUUUGGCCGUAAAUUUCAUUUUUUUACCACCAAAUUUACUUUAAAUGUUCCCAAUUUCUUGAAUUUUAGCCCCAAAUUCUCUUAAAUGUUCCCAAUUUCCUGAAUUUUAACCCCAAAUUCUCUUAAAUAUUCCAAAUUUCCUAAAUUUUGCCCCCAAAUUUCCUGAAUUUUGGCCCCAAAUUCACCUAAAUAUUCCAAAUUUCCUGAAUUUUAGCUCAAAAUCUUCAAAUUUUCCUGAAUUUUAGCCCAAAUUUUCCCUAAAUGUUCCCAAUUUCCUGAAUUUUAGACCCAAAUUUUCUUAAAUAUUCCUAAUUCCCUGAAUUUUAGCCCAAAUUUUUCCCAGUUUACUGAAUUUUGGCCCCAAAUUCCCCUAAAUAUUCCAAAUUUCCUAAAUUUUACCCCCAAAUUCCCCUAAAUGUUUAAAUUUCCUGAAUUUUAGCCCCGAAUUCCCCUAAAUAUUCCCAAUUUCCUGAAUUUUGGCCCCAAAUUUUCCAAUUUUCCUGAAUUUUAGCCCAAAUUUUUCUUAAAUAUUCCCAAUUUCCUGAAUUUUAACCCCAAAUUUUCCCAAUUUCCUGAAUUUUGGCCCCAAAUUCCCCUAAAUAUUUCAAUUUUUUGGGGUGUUUUUGGGGUUUUCGGGGUCCCUGAUGCGAUUUUUGGGUGUUUUUUGGUGUUUUUGGGGUCCCUGAUGCCAUUUUUGGGGUCCCUGAUGCCAUUUUUGGGGUGUUUUUUUGGGUUUUUGGGGUCCCUGAUGCAAUUUUUGGGGUGUUUUUGGGGUGUUUUUUUGGGUUUUUGGGGUCCCUGAUGCCAUUUUUGGGGUGUUUUUUGGGGUUUUUGGGGUCCCUGAUGCCAUUUUUUUGGUGUUUUUUGUGGUUUUCGGGGUCCCUGAUGCGAUUUUUGGGGUCCCUGAUGCGAUUUUUUGGGGUGGUUUUGGUGUUUUUGGGGUCCCUGAUGCCAUUUUUGGGGUCCCUGAUGUGAUUUUUGGGGUGUUUUUUUUGGGUUUUGGGGUCCCUGAUGUGAUUUUUGGGGUCCCUGAUACAAUUUUUGGGUCCCUGAUGCGAUUUUUGGGGUGUUUUUUGGGAUUUUUGGGGUCCCUGAUGCGAUUUUUGCAGUGUUUUUUUGGGUUUUUAGGGUGUUUUUUUUGGUUUUUGGGGUCUCUGAUGCGAUUUUUGCGGGGUUUUUUUUGGUUUUUAGGUGUUUUUUAGGGUUUUUGGGGUCCCUGAUGCCAUUUUUGGGGUUUUCGGGGUCCCUGAUGCCAUUUUCAGGGUCCCUGAUGCGAUUUUUGGGGUCCCUGAUGCCAUUUUCGGGGUGUUUUUUGGGGUUUUCGGGGUCCCUGAUGUGAUUUUUGGGGUCCCUGAUGCGAUUUUUGGGGUCCCUGAUGCCAUUUUUGGGGUGAUUUUUGGGGUUUUCGGGGUCCCUGAUGCCAUUUUUGGGGUGUUUUUGGGGUUUUCGGGGUCCCUGAUGCCAUAUUUGGGUGAUUUUUGGGGUUUUCGGGGUCCCUGAUGCCAUUUUUGGGGUGAUUUUUGGGGUUCCAGGCGGAGGCGUCGCUGAGCCGGGCUCGGGGGCUGUGGCUGCGUCUGGAGCUGCUCUGGCGCCUCCUGGAGGAGCUGAUCCGGGACCCCCGGGAGCUGGAGCCCCCUGUGAGUGCCAAAACACCCCAAAAACACCCCAAAAACACACCCAAAAUAUCCCCUAAACACCCCCUUAACAUCCCUUAAAUAUCCCCUAAAUAACCCCCAAACACCCCCAAAAUACCCC